GCAAAAUGUUAUCUUUGAGCUAUGCCAUUUGGCUUCCAGUGGACACACAAAAUGGACACACAUCAAAUGUCAACCAGGCUGAUAACAGACAGGAAGCAUUUUGAAUCUGUCCUGGCACAGAUUUGCACUGACUCCAGCUCACAGCAGAUUCAGUAUGAAAUUUAUCUUCAUAGACAUGUGACCCUUGGCUGUAAUUAAUCUAAGAGUUGGCACUAUAUGGGAAACUAAUAAAAAGAGUUCUGG
rnacentral:lncRNA from 1 species